UGCCUUUGUGUUGCCCUUUCAUUGUUUUCUUCAUGAACAGGGUGUCAACUAAGGCAUACAGUAACUCUUGUGGUUGUGAGAGGAAUUCAUCAUCACUGAUCUAUUCCUACACAAUCGGCUGCAAGCACAACG
ensembl:snoRNA small nucleolar RNA SNORA13